rnacentral:rRNA from 1 species
ACGCUAGCUACAGGCUUAACACAUGCAAGUCGAGGGGAAACGACAUCGAAAGCUUGCUUUUGAUGGGCGUCGACCGGCGCACGGGUGAGUAACGCGUAUCCAACCUGCCCAUCACUUGGGGAUAACCUUGCGAAAGUAAGACUAAUACCCAAUGAUAUCUCUAGAAGACAUCUGAAAGAGAUUAAAGAUUUAUCGGUGAUGGAUGGGGAUGCGUCUGAUUAGCUUGUUGGCGGGGUAACGGCCCACCAAGGCGACGAUCAGUAGGGGUUCUGAGAGGAAGGUCCCCCACAUUGGAACUGAGACACGGUCCAAACUCCUACGGGAGGCAGCAGUGAGGAAUAUUGGUCAAUGGGCGAGAGCCUGAACCAGCCAAGUAGCGUGCAGGAUGACGGCCCUAUGGGUUGUAAACUGCUUUUAUAAGGGAAUAAAGUGAGUCUCGUGAGACUUUUUGCAUGUACCUUAUGAAUAAGGACCGGCUAAUUCCGUGCCAGCAGCCGCGGUAAUACGGAAGGUCCGGGCGUUAUCCGGAUUUAUUGGGUUUAAAGGGAGCGUCGGCCGGAGAUUAAGCGUGUUGUGAAAUGUAGACGCUCAACGUCUGCACUGCAGCGCGAACUGGUUUCCUUGAGUACGCACAAAGUGGGCGGAAUUCGUGGUGUAGCGGUGAAAUGCUUAGAUAUCACGAAGAACUCCGAUUGCGAAGGCAGCUCACUGGAGCGCAACUGACGCUGAAGCUCGAAAGUGCGGGUAUCGAACAGGAUUAGAUACCCUGGUAGUCCGCACGGUAAACGAUGGAUGCCCGCUGUUGGUCUGAAUAGGUCAGCGGCCAAGCGAAAGCAUUAAGCAUCCCACCUGGGGAGUACGCCGGCAACGGUGAAA